UACGUAGGGUGCAAGCGUUGUCCGGAAUUAUUGGGCGUAAAGAGCUCGUAGGCGGUUUGUCGCGUCGAAUGUGAAAACCCGGGGCUCAACCCCGAGUCGGCCGUCGAUACUCUUCGGCUUGAGCACUGUAGAGGCAGGUGGAAUUCCGGGUGUAGCGGUGGAAUGCGUAGAGAUCCGGAAGAACACCGGUGGCGAAGGCGGCCUGCUGGGCAGUAGCUGACACUGAGGCGCGACAGCGUGGGGAGCAAACAGG
rnacentral:rRNA from 1 species